UGCUUCAGGACCUGCUGCCACCGUGUCCCCUGAGGUGGUGGUGGUGGUGGUGUUGGUAGUGGUGGCUGGGAUUUUGUUCCUAGCUGGAUUCAUUAUGAUGAAGAAAAGACAUGCAGACUGGAGUUCCCAAACAGCUCUAAAGAGAAGUCAUUCUGCAACUCCAGAUAUGCAGAAUCGAUCGGAAGGCGAUCCUCUUCAUGGUGCAUCCAUGGAGCCUACUGUUAAUCAAGAUCCGUCGUGCAAUUUUGAUCUGCAACAUUAGCACAUAAGAGAAAUUUCUUGGCAAAACGCAAAUAUUAGCAGCCGUCAGUUCGACUUUGACUCAUCAGAGAACUUUGCUGUGUGAGUUCUGCUGAUUUAACAUAACAGUAGGAUGGCAAAGGUACUAGUUUUAAU